GCCCACGUAGCUCAGCCGGCAGAGCAACCGCCUUGUAAGCGGUCGGUCGUCGGUUCGAUUCCGACCGUGGGCU
rnacentral:tRNA from 1 species